AUUGAACGAUGGCGGCAGGCCUAACACAUGCAAGUCGAGCGGAGCGGCGGACGGGUGAGUAAUGCCUAGGAAUCUGCCUGGUAGUGGGGGAUAACGUCCGGAAACGGGCGCUAAUAUCGCAUAAUAUAAAAUGUGCCUAGGUCGGAUUAGCUAGUUUGUGGGGUAAAGGCCUACAAAGGCGACGAUCCGUAACUGGUCUGAGAGGAUGAGCAGUCACACUGGAACUUAGACACGGCCCAUACUCCUACGGGAGGCAGCAGUUGGGAAUAUUGGACAAUGGGCGAAAGCCUGAUCCAGCCAUGCCGCGUGUGUGAAGAAGGUCUUCGGAUUGUAAAGCACUUUAAGUUGGGAGGCGUUACCAACAGAAUAAGCACCGGCUAACUUCGUGCCAGCAGCCGCGGUAAUUC
rnacentral:rRNA from 1 species